rnacentral:rRNA from 1 species
UUUUGUAGAAUGAACCGGCGAGUUACGAUUUGAUGCAAGGUUAAGCAGUAAAUGUGGAGCCGUAGCGAAAGCGAGUCUGAAUAGGGCGUUUAGUAUUUGGUCGUAGACCCGAAACCAGGUGAUCUACCCUUGGUCAGGUUGAAGUUCAGGUAACACUGAAUGGAGGACCGAACCGACUUACGUUGAAAAGUGAGCGGAUGAACUGAGGGUAGCGGAGAAAUUCCAAUCGAACCUGGAGAUAGCUGGUUCUCUCCGAAAUAGCUUUAGGGCUAGCCUCAAGUGAUGAUUAUUGGAGGUAGAGCACUGUUUGGACGAGGGGCCCCUCUCGGGUUACCGAAUUCAGACAAACUCCGAAUGCCAAUUAAUUUAACUUGGGAGUCAGAACAUGGGUGAUAAGGUCCGUGUUCGAAAGGGAAACAGCCCAGACCACCAGCUAAGGUCCCAAAAUAUAUGUUAAGUGGAAAAGGAUGUGGCGUUGCCCAGACAACUAGGAUGUUGGCUUAGAAGCAGCCAUCAUUUAAAGAGUGCGUAAUAGCUCACUAGUCGAGUGACACUGCGCCGAAAAUGUACCGGGGCUAAACAUA